rnacentral:rRNA from 1 species
AGUGAACGCUGGCGGUAGGCCUAACACAUGCAAGUCGAACGGCAGCACAGUAAGAGCUUGCUCUUACGGGUGGCGAGUGGCGGACGGGUGAGGAAUACAUCGGAAUCUACUUUUUCGUGGGGGAUAACGUAGGGAAACUUACGCUAAUACCGCAUACGACCUACGGGUGAAAGCAGGGGAUCUUCGGACCUUGCGCGACUGAAUGAGCCGAUGUCGGAUUAGCUAGUUGGCGGGGUAAAGGCCCACUAAGGCGACGAUCCGUAGCUGGUCUGAGAGGAUGAUCAGCCACACUGGAACUGAGACACGGUCCAGACUCCUACAGGAGGCAGCAGUGGGGAAUAUUGGACGAUGGGCGCAAGCCUGAUCCAGCCAUACCGCGUGGGUGAAGAAGGCCUUCGGGUUGUAAAGCCCUUUUGUUGGGAAAGAAAAGCAGCAGGUUAAGACCCCGCUGUUCUGACGGUACCCAAAGAAUAAGCACCGGCUAACUUCGUG